AGGCAUAGAACCUACUAAAAAGAAGAUGAACUUGCAAAUCGCUGCAACACAACAAUUUUUUAGCACUAUUUAAUAAUUAAUUAUUUAAAUUGAAAAUAAAAAUUAAUUAAAUGCUAUUGACAUAAAGACAAAAACCAUGGGAAAUAAAUGAGCUUAAGAAAUUGAAUUUAUGGAGUGUAUCUCCAGGUGUUUUGGCAAAAUUUCUAAUAAUUUUAGGUCGCUUGAAUGUACUUUGAAUAUUUUAUUCUAUUUCAAAAUGUUUAGCACGUAAUUCUACUACAUAUUUACACUUAUAAAUUCACUUCCUGUCAUUUCUGACAAUAAUAAGUCUUAGAAUCGAUAAUGAUUUCCAAAUUUUUAACGUGCGAAAACUCGUUGUCACUAAGUUUUUAUUUUUGUACCAUUUGUUACUUCUCAGAAUAUUUGAGAGCCGAUUUUCUUGAUUUUCAAACUACUUUCUGCUCUUUUAGAACGUUGCUUACAUAUUUUGAAUUUAGAGCUGCCUCCCAGUUUUCUGUGAGUCUCUUCUUGUAGGUUUUUUUUGUUUUCAACUUUCAAUACAUUCCUAAAUGAAAAAGGCGUUGAUCAGAAAAAUACCACCUCUCAAAUUGAAACUGGAUCUCUAGAAAUGCAAUUGAUCGAUUUAAAAAGUGAAGCUUGUUUGAGUGGAAAAUUCAAAGAGUUGAAAAGCAAGUUAGAAGUGUUGGAGGUCCAGAAAUGUGUGUACAAAAAGCAUCAAAAGUUGAAGUACAAGUUAGGGUUAUUUUCGAUAAUCGAAGCUAAACUUCUAACAGACACGGAAUGUUUAUUUGACAACUGCCAAAAUACUUGCAAAACUGUCUAAAAAUGUACGAAUUUUUUGUCUCCACACCCUUAUUGUGCAACGAAUUUUGUACGGGGACGGUGGAUCGUUUCGACGAGUUUUUUCUUAAACAAAAUUAUUAGAAAGUUUGUUAGUGCGGAUUCACCUUUUUUUUUUAGUUUAAAAGCAUAUUAUUUAUUUAUAAAACGUAUAUCAUUUCUAUGCAUAGUAAUUUAUUUCGUGUUUACAAAUAAAUUAAUUAUGGAGGUAUUCAAAUUAUGUCACAAUGUUUGAUUAAUUAAUUAAUUUCUAUGUAACAGUCAUCGACCUUUUCUCUGCACUCGGAAAAGAAUUAAUUAAAGUGUAAUUGAAUAAAAUUAAAUUGAUUUAUACAAUUUUAUAUAAUAAAAUAAAACAUCACAUAUUAUAAA